rnacentral:tRNA from 1 species
GCCCCGUUAGCUCAACUGGAUAGAGUACCGGUCUUCGGAACCGGUGAUAUGGGUUCAAAUCCCUUGCGGGGCA